rnacentral:rRNA from 1 species
UCCAGACUCCUACGGGAGGCAGCAGUGGGGGAUAUUGCACAAUGGGGGAAACCCUGAUGCAGCGACGCCGCGUGAGUGAAGACGGCCUUCGGGUUGUAAAGCUCUGUCAAUCGGGACGAAGAAGAUGACGGUACCGAUGAAGGAAGCUCCGGCUAACUACGUGCCAGCAGCCGCGGUAAUACGUAGGGGGCAAGCGUUAUCCGGAUUUACUGGGUGUAAAGGGAGCGUAGACGGCGAUGCAAGUCUGAAGUGAAAGGCGGGGGCCCAACCCCCGGACUGCUUUGGAAACUGUAUGGCUGGAGUGCAGGAGAGGUAAGUGGAAUUCCUAGUGUAGCGGUGAAAUGCGUAGAUAUUAGGAGGAACACCAGUGGCGAAGGCGGCUUACUGGACUGUAACUGACGUUGAGGCUCGAAAGCGUGGGGAGCGAACAGGAUUAGAUACCCGAGUA